ACAACCAAUAGUAUCAUUAAUCAUAGAAUUCAGACAGCACGGCACAGACUACCCCUAUCAUAUGAAAAAUUUUAUAUUAUUACAGAAGCGUACAGUGAAAAUAUUGCAACAAGUACAUUGUUGACUUCUGCAAUGGAGUCACAUCAGCACAUGAUAUGAAAAUUAAUUUAUUUUUACUACUAUGACGAGGGAGUUUGUUGGUGUACCAUCUAAACCUAAGCACAUCCCCACCUCUUAAAAGAAGUUAAGAAAACCACAAGAAACGUUCUACCAUAACCCAUGGCACAACUUAAUAUGAGAACUCUCACUAUCCCCUCUAUAUAUAGUGGACUGAAUUUCUAUGGAGUAUACCGAUGAAUAUCUUAGUCUGUUGCAUAGAAUGGCUCAUCAAUUGGUAGUACGGCGAAACAGAGUGGUCAACCAAAAUAAUGAAUGAAUUCCUCAGUUUUCCAGUAUGAACUUGAUUGGGACUAUUGUAACUUGCAGGUAGGGGUGAAAACGGUACGGAAACUUUCCGGAUUCCGGACCUAUUUUCGAAAACGGAAUCUGUCGGUCGGAAUUUUUCGGAAACGGAAACGAAUUCGGAAAUAUUUUCUCGGAAACGGAAUCGGAAAUGAUAAGCGCAGUUUCCGUCGGAACUCGGAAUCGGUCGGAAACUUUCCGGAAAUUUUCUCGGAAUUUCCGGAAAUUGUCUCGGAAUUACCAGAAAUUUUAUGACUGAAAUACCCUAGAUUAUUUUUUUAAGCACUAAAUAGUGAAUACCAAGGUGUUUGGCUGUUAUUUUUUUAAAAAAUAUUUGUUAUGCAAAUCUAAAAUUACAUAAGAAUAUUUUUUGUCCUACAUUGGGAUUUAUUAACAACAUUACUCUUUUAAACAUAGAUAAUUUAUUCAAUUGGAUUUAUCAGUUUGAGGGGUUUUUUAUUCCGAUAAAUUUUCGUUACCGUAUUCACGCCGGUUCGUUUUCGCUCCGUUUUCGGUUUCGAUAAUAUUCGAUUCCGUUUUCGUAUCCGGUAUUUCCGAUUCCGAUUCCGAUUCCGAUUCCGAAAAAAAUAUGAAAACGAAAACGAUAAAGAUGGUUUCCGUCCGUUUCCGUACCGUUUUCACCCCUACUUGCAGGUAAUUUAUGUUUGAACUUCAUUAGGACUAGUUGUAUAGUAAUUUAUGCCUCACUGAAAUCAACAGCACUAUCAACCACUAUUUUCCCCUCGGUAUGGGAGAGUAAGGUGGUUGGCAAGUUAAAUAAAUUGCAGUUGAAUGGCAUAUGUAGGUAGCUAUGGGUUCCGUACUCGUAUAAAAGAAAAAA
rnacentral:lncRNA from 1 species